CCUUUUAUCAAAAUAUACAGCGGUCAUAGCGUAGACCAUCCCCCUCUGUGAAAUUAUAUAUUUUGCCGUAAUACUGACAGCUGACAGAGGGGAUUUCUAUUUCGAUAAAUAGUGGUCGUGAAUCAAUGUAAAGUUGUGAAUUUGUCAAACAGAUAAGGGAAAUUGAAACGUUCAUAGUGAUGCAUUACUUGAAUCUUGUUCCAGGUGGAGGUUUAGACUUUCCUGGAGCUGAAUACGAAGGUUCUUCAGCAGAGUCUUGUUCUGAUUCAUUUUGGGGAUUUCUGAGGAGGAUAGUUUCUUCAAAAGUCCUUAGCGAAAAAUGAGAUUCUUGUCUUGCCGAAAGUUGAUAGAAAGAAUUUUGAUAGAAGAAAACUGAAGUGGAAGGAAAUACCUACUAUGGCGGGAUCAUACCGGGAAGAAUCACCUCAAAAAGGUUUCCUUUGAAACUUCAACACCGCAUGAUCCAAAAAGCAGAAAAGAUACCAAGUUAGAAUCAGAAUAGGCUGAAGAAGAAUAAUGUUUUCUUCGAAAUGCAUAUAAUCGUUCAGAUCAGAUGCAGCCACUCUUCUUGGAGGAAUCUACUGACCUUCGGCACCAGAUAAUAUUUUACUAAAUGGAACACCUUAUUGAAAACCUCACUUGAAGAUUCAAAAUUUUUAAUUGUAAGAAAACGAGACCAGAAUUGUUGAAAGAUUUUGGAGAAUUAUCAUUAAAACCAAAUCAAAGAGAUGCCAACAUUCUCCAGGAAUGAUAUGCAAUACAAGAAACUGGUACAAAAAUGGUUAAUUUAAAUGCUUCCCAUAGCACGAGCAACACUUUGGGCUCUUCAAGAUUCCGAUACAUAUAUGUUGCCUCUCAAGCCUACCAAGUGCAGACAUCGCUCAAAAACGACUUUUUUUUUCGGAGAAGGCUGUGCUGCGCCUAUGUGAUCAUUUAUUGGCCAUCCUUCGGACCAAUUCAGCACUCCGUCUGAAAACACUUCAAUACUGACCAAGAAAUUGUUAGCGAUUUCAAAAGGGCCAACACCAGCCCUCUGCUGUCUAGUGUGAACGUGUUUGUCACAUUUGCACCGUAAAAGUUUUCAGCUAUGAAGUUUUCUCCAUCCCCUACGUGCCCCGCAAACCCAAUCAUUCACGAGAUUGCCUUUGAACGCAAAUUAUAGUCUUUUCCUUAUUGCGUUCUUCACCUGAAACUCGUUUUUGGCUGGAGUGACGCAAUAAAAAGGACCAGAGGAGGCGAGAAUUUUAUUUCAUGCUUUAAUUGCUGAAGAGACAGGGAAAAAGAGGCCAAGUGUGUAUUGGAAAACGAUCAAUCUAGAUUUUGAAAGUUAUGAUACUUUUGAGCGUUCUUCCACCAAACAGAUCGACUUGUCAUUGAGUAGGAACUUCUGGACACUAGACAUAGUGUGAUGUACCCAGCUAGGGUAGGUUCGGUCAAUCGUUAUACAGUUGAAGGAAUGGUUAAUGAAUACUCUCCAGACUCAUCAAAGGGUAUUUAUUUCUUACUGCACACUGUACUGAUCACAGAUGAAAACUCACAUGAUGUAAUUCAAGAAUGUGAGCAUCAAA